CCUACGGGAGGCAGCAGUGAGGAAUAUUGGUCAAUGGACGCAAGUCUGAACCAGCCAUGCCGCGUGCAGGAAGACGGCUCUAUGAGUUGUAAACUGCUUUUGUACGAGGGUAAACGCAGAUACGCGUAUCUUUCUGAAAGUAUCGUACGAAUAAGGAUCGGCUAACUCCGUGCCAGCAGCCGCGGUAAUACGGAGGAUUCAAGCGUUAUCCGGAUUUAUUGGGUUUAAGGGGUGCGUAGGCGGUCGGAUAAGUUAGAGGUGAAAUCCCGAGGCUCAACUUCGGAAUUGCAUCUGAAACUGUUAGGCUAGAGAGUAGUUGCGGUAGGCGGAAUGUAUGGUGUAGCGGUGAAAUGCUUAGAGAUCAUACAGAACACCGAUUGCGAAGGCAGCUUACCAAGCUACGUCUGACGUUGAGGCACGAAAGCGUGGGGAGCAAACAGGAUUAGAUACCCCAGUAGUC
rnacentral:rRNA from 1 species